rnacentral:rRNA from 1 species
UAAAUUGCUGUGGUAUUUUGACUAUACAAAGGUAUUGAAAUAAGGUUUUAAUUGAAUGCUAAAAGAAUGGAAUAUCAAAGAAUAACUUUCUUAAAAUUAAAAAUUGAAAUUUUUUUAAUUUGUGUAAAAACAAUUAUAUAAAUUAAAGACAAGAAGACCCUAAGAAUUUUUAAAAUUUAAAUUAACACAUUUUUGUUUUAAUUAAAUUUUAACUGGGGCGGUUAAAAAAUAUUAAAAACUUUUUAAUUUUGAAAAUGACCCAUUAUUAAUGAAAAUAUGAUAAAAUACUCUAGGGAUAACAGCGUUAUAUUUUUUGAUAGAUCAUAUUGACAAAAAAGUUUGCGACCUCGAUGUUGGAUUAGGAUACUUUUUUAAUGAAGAUAUUAAAAUAAGGAGUUUGUUCAACUUUUAAAUUCCUACUUGA